rnacentral:tRNA from 1 species
UCCCUGAUGGCUCAGAUGGUAAAGAAUCUGCCUGAAAUGCAGGAGACCUGGGUUUAAACUCUGGUUUGGGAA